UUCUAGGUCAAAACUAGUACCUAUUACACCUGGAAACAUAACCAGGUCAUAUUCUGGAACAUGGAUGAAAAUGUUUCUGAUAUAUUAUAUUGGGUGCAUGAGAUAGUUAAAGUUCUGAAUUCACCAGUGGUUUCAAAUUUUUCAGCAAAGGGUACUGGUCAAAGGAGAAUUUAGUUUCUUCUUUCAGCAUUACACUUUUUCCACCCAAUACACUGGAUGCUGGAUUAAAUUUGUUUGGAAUUUUGUUAUUUACGUUUAUUAGAGAUAAAUUGUACCAGCUGCCUCUAUCAAAUAAAACACAUUUACUAUAGAUUCAGCACUGAACACUAUAUUCUCAGUGAACAACUAUAAUCUAAGUAUUUUAAAACUGAACACAACUUUUAUCAGUUGAUGAAUGCUCUCAGACCUGCUUAUAAGUGGCUGACUUCCAGACUAAGUUGUUCAUGAAUUAUCCCACUAAAAUUAAUGCGACUUUCCCAUAAAGCUUGAUGGGGCUACUCAUGCAUAACAGUCUGAAAGUUCUGCACAUCAGUUCUGUUCCCUAUAAAACAGAACAAGGCACCUUUAUUUGUAAGGUAAUUUUUUUCUCCAUUUGAUGAAGGAGAAUGAAUUUGAUGAAGGAGAAGGAAUACUUGCUUUCUGUAUUUGUUGACUUUCUGUUUGGAUCCCUUUCAUAUAUAAUAUAAAGUAAAAGUGUGCCAUGAAGUUGAUUUCGACUCCUGGUGCCCACAGAGCUCUGUGAUUUUCUUGGUAGAAUACAGGAGGGGUUUACCAUUGCCACCUCCCCCACAGUGCGAGAUGAUGCCUUUCUGCAUCUUCCUAUAUUGCUGCUGCCCAGUUUAAUACUAGGUUCAUGUUCCAGUAGGUAAGACUAAUGUUUUCCAACGUGCUUUAACACACUUUGGCACUGUAUCCUCAGUUCUACUCCUAGAGCUAAGAAAAAGGUCAAAUGGAAUCUCACAUACUUAACAUAAUGCCUCCGGAACAUGUUUCAUGAAGAGGUCUGGGAGCUCCUCUGUCCCUUUUGCCAGGGACUCCAUGCCCUUAUCCUGGCUUUUGCAAUGAAAUUUUGGAUAAUUACUUCCAUGAGUGCACAAGAGCAACACUGCAUUCCCAAUCAAUAACAUGGCAAGUGGAAUUUGACACAUGCUAAAAUCCGGUCGUGGAUGUAUGUGACAAUUGUAGGCCUAAGCAAAUAUAAACAGAUUUUUAAAAAGAUUACUGAACUCUUGCUUCCCUUCAACAAGAAAGUGAUAUCGGCUGUAAAUGUAAUAUGGAAGUACAGUACAGAACAGCAGAAGUGCCACUGAAACAUUGCUGCUUUGUUAGCCCACAUGUGGAAGGCUGGCACUGCAAUUCUGUACAAAGGCAAACUCCCCCCCCCCACACACAAAUCAGGACUUUAAAAAGACAAAAGGACUACUCCAAAAAGGCUGAAUUGCAGCUGUUAUCUUAACUGGGGGGGAAAGAGAAAUUUCAGAGAAAAGGGGUGAGCAAAAGCAACUUAAGAAUCACACCAAGAGAGUCUGGUCCCAGCUUCUCUCUACAGAAUAUUGUUAUGGAGCAGAGGUCAUGAACACUGACAUCCCCAUCAGAAUGAAGAUCAUUAAUCCCGUCACCCUCUGUUCACGGAUUCCCAAGAACUUUGGUUGCUCUCCUGGAGCAGAACACUCUGAUUCUACUUUUAAACUGUUGACAUGACUUAUAGAAAGAACUGUUGCAGCCACAAACCAAGGCAAGCCCAUGAUAGAGCAUAUACCUAGCAUAACUCCAACCAUGAGAAGAUCGAGAUGAUAACCACAACCUUUCUGUAAAGUCAAACACAGAACAUAUUUUCUACCAGACUCACAUCAAAGCAAACUGGGGAAAAAAAAAUCUUCUCUUUAACUGGUACAUUUUUAAUACACUAAGAUCUUUCAAUAAUUGAUCAAUGCAAAAUAUUAACAUUUUGAACACAGUGGUGAGUAAGUUGUGGAGAAAUGUUAACAGAAAGAACUGUAUGGCAAAAACUACCCUGAGGAGUUAACAGAAUCAGCUCUUCUAGCAUGCAAUCUGGUGGCUGAGGAUCUUUCCUAUUAUUUAUUAAAGAUAGAGAUAUCACUAUCUCCAUCUAUCCCACCCUUCCAGUGCAAUACUACUAAGGGCAGCUCACCAUUUAUAUUUUAAAUUAUCUCUUAUUUUAAGAGAUUAUAACAUGCUACCAUAGCUGACGUGUGGAAAAAUGAGCAACUACAUGGCUGAGCUUAAGUUACUUGCAUUCUAGCAGAACACACUGUAACCAGGCUGGUUACAAUAACUUCCUAGCACCCAAUUUCCACUUUGAUUGGGAACAAACCCAAUGAUUUAGCAGCAGAGAAAAAUUUAAUGUUUUAAAAGGUUCUGCUGAAAAUGUUCCUGUGACCCGAGCAGCAUUUCCAAUAGUUAUGAGAUUUAUUAUUCACUCUUUCUCCCUAGCACAAAUACUGCAGCAGAUGUUUCAUUAAUUCCAGCACUAUACCUUUUGUUCCAAAUGUUUUAACAACCCCAUCUUCAGACAUUAUGUUGUACGAGUGUAUAGAGGCCUGUACAGUCAUACAUGUUUUGUAUGUGAAUAACUAAUUUUAAAAAGUGAACCUGGGUACAGGUACCCUGAAAUGUAGGAUACAAGUAGAUCAUGUGCUGCUGUACCUUGUUCAAACAUAAUAUGAACUGUGCCUGUGUACAGAUUUGUAUACAGAAUGUAUACAUUAUACAUUCAUACAAGUAUUGAAUAUAAUGUGAGAGUAGGGCUUGUUUACCAGCCAAAUCCCAGACAUACAUCACUCCUCAGCUUCUACGAAGUUACAAUUAAUAAAUGGUGCAAGUUACAAUCAAAAAUACGUAAGAUAUUUUAUUUCAGUUUACAAUUGUAUGCCAAAUGAAAGUUCUAUAACUUCCAAGUGAAUAUUUUAGAUCUUUGACAGGGAUACCACAGAAAUAAUCUAGCAAAUUGGCUUCUGUAUUCACAGUCAGAAUAAGAAAGCAGUUUUUCACCUUGAGCUUAUGUUCCUUCCUGUUUAUGAUUACGGCUGUAAUUUGCUGGUCCAUAAAAAUGAGAAUUGUACAGAGUAAAGCAGGAACUGCAGCAACCAGGAGUGUCCACCAAGGAUUGGUUCCUAGAGGAUCCAUGAGCCAUCCUCUGUCUUUUUGUGUCGGCUAGAAGAAGAGACAUCAAGAGGACUGACUAAAGUAGAAAAAGUGAUACUUUACUUUUAAUGAGGCACUUCAACUGUCAACUUUGUAUGCUUGCUAUUUGUACAUUUUAGAGUGCUAAUGCCUUCCAAAAAUUCCAAGUUAAAAAUGAAUUAGAAUAGCUUGGAAUGAACAAAGCAUAGCUCAUUAUUGGAUAUAUUUAUUAUAAAAUUAAGGCACAGGCUAUGCUUAAUUCAUGUUCAUAUGAAACAAGGAACAAUAACACCAAGUCAAGUAGUAUAUUGUGGAACAUUACAGAUUAACCAGGUUUUUUUUGGCAUUUCCGUAACACUUUACUUGACAUUACACUUCAUCAAAUGCACUUUUUGUUAGAAGUGAGAAUUCUAAAGCAUUUAUCUUAGCACCACAAUAACCUCUUCCGGCCACUAGAGCAGUGUUCCCUAUAACAUGUAUGUGUGCGUGAGCACACCCAUGUUUUUUUUAAUGUCUGCCUAAUUAAUUUUAGAUCCUGCUCAGGCUGAAUCAGGAAAGUACCACUCUGAAUGCAUGUGCACACACAUUGCCUUGAUACUGCCACCCAGAACAAAACUUAUUCCAUAUGCAGAUGAAAAAAAAUAGAAAAAACACUGGACUAGAGAUAUGAUAAGGUGUUAAUGUUAGAGUCAGAACUGUUCCGUUGUUAUUGAAGGCUAGUACCUGUUUGAAUAUGUUGUUAAAUGUCUCUCUCGUAUGUGAUCUCCUGGUUUCUUAAUAAAUCUUUGUUUUUUUGAACUCAA